UUGAAGGAGUAAACUGGGUCUUCCAGCCUACAUCUUUCUCCCAUGCUGGAUGCUUCCUAACCUCAACAUUGGACUCCAAGUUCUUCAGCUUUGGGACUCCAGGACUCUUUGGGACUCUUCAACCACAGACUGAAGGCUGCACUGUCGGCUUCCCUAUUUUUGAGGUUUUGGGACUCAAACUGGCUUUCUUGCUCCUCAGCUUGCAGACGGCCUAUUGUGGGACUUCACCUUGUGAUCAUAAUUGCCCCCCUGGGGUCCUCUUGGCUUCUCUCUCCUGUCGUGGAACCAUGCCUCACAAAGCAAGGGCUGUUGGCCCAGAGUACUCUCUGCUUACUGCAUGAAAGAAGAACCUCUGAUUCAUGCAUGAGGCUGGAUGAAUGAAAGGAGCCCAUAGCUCUCCAUCAUACUCCCCUGAAACAUAGCCUCAGCAACAAGCUUCUAAGGGCAGAACGAGAAAUGAUGAAGCCCCGCUCCUCCUGGGAAGCAGAAAACUACAGCUGAAAGAUGGGGAGGAGUUUUGGAAUUUUCACCACUUACCAGUUAUUUUGGAGAGCUGAUCAGUAGAACGCCUCAUGCUGUCAUCAUAGAAGUUGAUCAAAGUAUUGUUUUCUUUCAGUCCACUAAUUAUAUUUUGUCCUCAAAUUAUAUUCUACCAAAAUUCUGUUUCACCAUAGUCCAAGUAUUUUAAAAAGUUUUCUUGCCCUGUUCUUAUUAUGCAAAACGUAAGAACUAUCCUUUUCCACCAUCUCUUUGAAAAAUCAAAUAUAAAACUGAAACACAAUUC
rnacentral:lncRNA from 1 species